AACGUAGGAGACAAACGUUAUCCGGAGUUACUGGGCGUAAAGGGCGUGUAGGCGGUUCGUUAAGUCUGGCGUGAAAGCUCUCGGCUAAACCGGGAGAGGUCGUUGGAUACUGGCAAACUAGAGGACGGUAGAGGCGUGUGGAAUUCCGGGUGUAGUGGUGAAAUGCGUAGAGAUCCGGAGGAACACCAGCGGCGAAGGCGGCGCUCUGAGCCGGAACUGACGCUGAGGAGCGAAAGCGUGGGUAGCAAACAGG
rnacentral:rRNA from 1 species